rnacentral:rRNA from 1 species
UUUGGGUGCGACUUGGGGGAUUUACCUUUCUCUUACCUAGGUAUUCCAAUCCACCAUCGAAAGCUGACCAAUAGAGAAUGGAAGUGCAUCGAAGACCGGUUUGAGAAGAAACUGAGUUGCUGGAAGGGCAAGCUCAUGUCAUAUGGAGGCCGAUUAAUUCUGAUUAAUUCGGUGCUCACGAGUAUGCCUAUGUUUCUCUUAUCGUUCUUUCAAGUCCCAGUUGGUGUUAGGAAAAGACUGGACUUUUAUCGAUCGCGUUUCUUUUGGCAGGGUGAUGAGCUAAAAAGAAAGUACAGACUUGCAAAAUGGGAUAUCAUCUGUAGACCGAAAGAUCAAGGGGGUCUUGGUAUUGAGAAUCUUGAAGUUAAGAACAGAUGCCUUCUUAGCAAGUGGCUGUGGAAGCUUUCUUUUGAGACUGAUGCUAUGUGGGCCCAAAUCCUUCGCAGCAAGUACCUACAGACAAAAUCCUUGUCCCAGGUCACAGUAAGGCCAACUGACUCGCCUUUCUGGAGAGGCCUGAUGAAAGUCAAACAAUCUAUGUUUAAUAGGACAAAGGUU